AUGAAACAUAUAUCAGUGAUGUUGUGGAUAGCACAGACAUUUGCCAAAGGAGAGAGCAGAUAUUUGCAAAUAUGGGCAGAGAAAUGGCAGAUGGUGUUUAAUCCAGGCAAGUAUGAGGUGUUGCACUUUGGGAAGUCGAGUGUAAAGGGACACUAUAGGAAGGAUGUUGAGUCUUUGGAGAGGGUGAAAGGGAGGUUUACCAGGAUGCUGCCUGGUUUAGAGGGCAUGUGCUAUCACGAGAGGCUGGACAAACUUGGGUUGUUUUCUCUAGAGCGUCAGGGGAUCUGAAAGAGGUUAUGAGAAGCAUAGAUAGAUUGGACAGAGUGUUGCCCAGGGUAGAAUUGUCAAAUACCAGAGUGCAUGCAUUGAAGGUGAGAGGGGGGAUGUGAGGGUAAGUUGAUUACUCAGAGAGUGGUGGAUGCCUGGAAUGUGCUGCCUGGUGUGGUGGUGGAGGCAAAUACAUUAGAGGCUUUUUAGAGAUACUCAGAUAGGCACCUGGAUGUAAGGAAAUGGAGGGAUAUGGACAUGGAGAAGGUGGGAGGGAUUAGUGUUUGGGUGUGUUUGAUUUGCCUCUUAGCUGGUUUGGCACAACAUUGUGGGCUGAAUGGCCUGUUCCAUGUUCUGUACAUUGUACGUGGACCCUGGAGUUAGCAGAGGGAUCUUGGGGUGUUGGUCCACAGGUCCCUGAAAGUGGCUGCUCUGGUGGAUAAGGUGGUAAAGAAGGUCUUUAUCAGCUAAGGGACGGAGCUGGGAAGUUCAUGUUGAAGGUUUACAAAGUUCUGGUCAGGCCAUAUCCGGAGUCUUAUGCUCAUUGCCGGUCACCCCAUUACAGGAAGGGUGUGGAGGCUUUGGAGAGAAUCCAGAAGAGGCUGCCUGGUGUAGAGGGCAGGAGCUACAUGGAGAGGUCAACAAACUUGAGUUGUUUUCUCUGGAGUUGUUUCCUCUCCCUCCCCCUCACUUUCCCCCUCCCUCUCCCUCUCCCUCCCUCUCACUCUCCCUACCAUCCCCUCCCCUUAAUCCCCCUUGCUCUUACCCUCAAAUUCCCUCCCCUUUGCACUCCCCCCUUCCCACUCACCCCUUCCCCUCCCACUCCCCCCUCCCACUCUCCCCUUCCCCUCCCUCCCCUGCGCCCCUCUUCCCACCCUCGCCCCCUCCCCUCACACCUGCCCCACUGACCCAUUCCCCCCACCUUAGUAGUCAGUAACAUCCACCUCUUCUCUUCCCUGAUUCCUUCUCCCCCUCCCCCUCUGUCACCCACUUCCUGUCACCUCCCUCCAUCUUUUCUCCACCAAUGAGCUAAGAGAGAGUGGAUGAGAUCAUCUGGGUGAAGACCAAUCAACUGCAGCGGAUCAUCCGGACCGGACGGACUGGCCAUUGGCUAAACCACGGCAAGGAGCACUGCCUGGUGGGGGUGAAGGGAAACCCUCAGGGCUUCAACCGUGGGCUGGACUGCGAUGUCACUGUGGCUGAGGUCCGAUCCACCAGCCACAAGCCAGACGAGAUCUGUGGGAUGAUCGAGCGACUGUCCCCAGGGACACGCAAAAUUGAACUGUUUGGGAGGCCGCACAACGUCCAGCCCAACUGGUGAGUCCGCGCCUGACCCCAGGAGCACGUGAUGGGAUGCUGCAGAGAGAGCUUCACUGUGUGCCUGGCCGCAUGAGUGUGUGAUGGGACGGUGUGGAGGGAGUUUCACUGUGUGCCUGGCCACAUGAGUGUGUGAUGGGACGGUGUGGAGGGAGUUUCACUCUGUGUCUGACCCCGGGAGUGUGUGAUGGGACGGUGUGCAGGGGGUUUCACUCUGUGUCUGACCCCAGGAGUGUGUGAUGGGACGGUGUGGAGGGAGUUUCACUCUGUGUCUGACCCCGGGAGUGUGUGAUGGGACGGUGUGGAGGGAGUUUCACUCUGUGUCUGACCCCGGGAGUGUGAGAUGGGACGGUGUGGUGGGAGAUUCACUCUGUGUCUGACUCCGGGAGUGUGUGAUGGGACGGUGUGGGGGGAGUUUCACUCUGUGUCUGACCCCAGGAGUAUGUGAUGGACAGUGUGGAGGGAGAUUCACUCUGUGUCUGACCUGUGGUAUGUGUGAUGGGACGGUGUGGAGGGUGAAUUGUCUGCUGUGGCAGGUAAUCCCUUUGCUGCCAUCUCUGUCCUCACCUCGAUGCUCACAGUGUCGAACAAUAAACUUUACUUCAGUUGGCAAACUCUCAAUGGCCGCAUCUUCCUGCAUGGCUUCCGCCUACAGCAUGGCGCACCCUCCUCACCGUCCCUACCACGGUGUGUAUUUCCCUCCUCACCAUCCUUCCCGCGAUGUGGAGUUCCCUCCUCACCGUCCCUACUGCGGUGUGGAGUUCCCUCCUCACCGUCCCUACCGCAGUGUGGAGUUCCCUCCUCACCGUCCCUACCGCAGUGUGGAGUUCCCUCCUCACCGUCCCUCCCGCGGUGUGGAGUUCCCUCCUCACCGUCCCUACUGCAGUGUGGAGUUCCCUCCUCACCGUCCCUCCCGCGGUGUGGAGUUCCCUUCUCAGCAUUUUCUCCUACAGUGCCGCGCUCCCUCUUCAAUACCCAGUGACAGGGAUGCGGGAAUCGUGCAUGGUACAGUAGGGUGGCUCUGACACAGCAGAUACGGAGGUAGGGACAGUGUACGGUACUCCCCGUGUGGGUCCUGCCCUGUGAUACGGAGACGGGAACCAUGCACAGUACAGUAGGGUGGCUCUGACACGGCAGAUUCGGAUGUAGGGACAGUGUACGGUACUCCCCGUGUGGGUCCUGCCCUGCGAUACAGAGACGGGAACCGUGCACGGUACUAGGGUGGCUCUGACACGGCAGAUACGGAGGUAGGGACAGUGUACGGUACUCCCCGUGUGGGUCCUGCCCUGUGAUACGGAGACGGGAACCAUGCACAGUACAGUAGGGUGGCUCUGACACGGCAGAUUCGGAUGUAGGGACAGUGUACGGUACUCCCCGUGUGGGUCCUGCCCUGCGAUACAGAGACGGGAACCGUGCACGGUACUAGGGUGGCUCUGACACGGCAGAUACGGAAGUAGGGACAGUGUACGGUACUCCCCGUGUGGGUCCUGCCCUGCGAUACGGAGACUGGAACCGUGCACGGUACUAGGGUGGCUCUGAUACGGCAGAUACGGAGACGGGAACCGUGCACGGUACUAGGGUGGCUCUGAUACGGAGGUAGGGACAGUGUACGGUACUCCCAUUGUGGGUCCUACCCUGCGAUACGGAGACGGGAACCGUGCACGGUACUAGGGUGGCUCUGACACGGCAGAUACGGAGAUAGGGACAGUGUACGGUACUCCCAUUGUAGGUCCUACCCUGCGAUACGGAGACGGGAACCAUGCACGGUACUAGGGUGGCUCUGAGGUGGAAGAGACAUUGUUGUGCUUUUUUUUGCCACACAGUUGGCGUGUACAGGCCAGAUGAGAUCAUCGGUGAUGUGUAUACCGAGGAACUUGAAACUACUCACCCUCUCAACUGCAGACCCAUCAAUGUUGAUCAGGCCGAGCCUGUCUCUGUUCCUUCUGUAAUCCACGAAGAACUCUUUUUUUUCGUUUGGACAUUGAGGGAGAGGUUGUUAUCCUGGUAUCACUGUGUCAGGGUGUCAACCUCUCUGUAGGCUGUCUCAUCACUGCCAGAAAUAGGCCGAUCAAAGUCAUGUCACCUGCGAAUCCGAUCAGCAGUUUGGAGCUGUGUGUGGCAGCACAGUCGUGGGUGUAAAGGGAAUAGAGAGGGGACUCAGGACACAAACCUGGGGGGCUCCUGUGUUGAGGGUCAGAGGUCCUUACCACCUGUCGGCGAUCCAGUAGGAAGUCUAGGAUCCAGCUGCACAAGACGGGAUGCAGGCCGAGGUCUCUGAGCUUCCUGUCAAGUUUGCAGUGAAUUACGGUGUUGAACGCUGAACUGUAGUCCAGGAACAACAUUCUAAUGGUGCACGAGUUUGGGGCUGUCCCAGGGGAUACAGAGAGCAGAUGUCACAUUGAGAAAGGCUGUUGUUUUUGUUGAAGAUGAACCGGCCCCCAGCUCUGGGCAUGGCUGCAGGGUUCCGCAGUAUGCUGGUGAGGGGGAGAGAACUGUCCACCUUUAUGAGAGUUCACAUUCAGGGUGGAAAGUCCCCGCCCCUGCUUGCUUGCUUGCUCACUCCCCCUUCCUGAGGGACAUCUGUCUACUGACUGGUAUCUCUCAGACUCCCUCGGGGGGGAAGAUCUGUGUACUGAACUCUAUCUAUAUUUAUUUGAAAUUUAUUUAUUAUGUUUAGUUCUGCUCAGUCUUUUGUACUACUGUGUACGUGGGUCUUCCGAACGUGAGAAGACUAUGACGAACUCCACGUCUUUGUGGGAUCAGUCCCUGUCGCCUGGGCGACGUGGGGAAAUGACUUUGCUGACAUCUGCAUCCACAAUCCCUACCAGCAGUGUUGCCUCCCUGGCAGACUUUUUUGUGUGGGUGGAGUCUUUUCACCACCACUGCCACGAGUGGGUGGGAGAGGUGAGGACAGGACCUGUGGGUCUUGGUGUCCCUUUCACCUGGGAGGGAGUCUGGGAGUCCUCACUAAUUUAUAUUUAACGAUGCUAACUUUCCUCUUCGCGAUGCGAAGUCUUUAACUCGCCACAGAAGCAAAAUAAAAGUCUUUUCAGA